AUUGAACGCUGGCGGCAUGCCUUACACAUGCAAGUCGAACGGCAGCACGGGUGCUUGCACCUGGUGGCGAGUGGCGAACGGGUGAGUAAUACAUCGGAACGUACCUUAUCGUGGGGGAUAACGCAGCGAAAGUUGCGCUAAUACCGCAUACGCCCUGAGGGGGAAAGCGGGGGACCGUAAGGCCUCGCGCGAUUAGAGCGGCCGAUGUCUGAUUAGCUUGUUGGUGAGGUAAAAGCUCACCAAGGCGAUGAUCAGUAGCUGGUCUGAGAGGACGAUCAGCCACACUGGGACUGAGACACGGCCCAGACUCCUACGGGAGGCAGCAGGGGGGAAUUUUGGACAAUGGGGGCAACCCUGAUCCAGCAAUGCCGCGUGAGUGAAGAAGGCCUUCGGGUCGUAAAGCUCUUUUGUCAGGGAAGAAACAGCAGCUCUAACACAGUCUGCGAAUGACGGUACCUGAAGAAUAAGCACCGGCUAACUACGUGCCAGCAGCCGCAGUAA
rnacentral:rRNA from 1 species